rnacentral:misc_RNA from 1 species
CAUGUCGUCUCCAGCCACCAUCCUCGCCUCUGUCGCCGUCUCUGCCAGCGCCAAGCUGUUGCUGUUCGCCACCCUCCCCCUACUCGAAAGGCAAGUGGACGGUGCCGCAGGACACAGUGCGGCAAAUACGGCGCGAGUCAAGGCUUACGGGAGGAGAUCACUGCAUUCCCACUGCUCCAUACACCCUCAGCAGCUACCUGGCACUCGCACGCACCAAUAAGCGGCGCCGCGUUUGCCUUUCGUUACGAGACAGUGAGCCUUGGGCUAUGCCCGCCACAUCAGCGCCGUCUCCGCUGUUGCCGGCCCUUCGACCCGCUUCUGGCACCAUGGCGGCCCCACAUGUAGCGAUUGAGGCAGCUGCGGAGGCGGCCUCCGCUUCCAGCAAUGAGGAGACGAGCGUAAAGGCGAAGGGGUACGACGAAGAUUGGCACCGACUACCGAGUGAAAUUAGCUACUUCCAAGACCUUCUAGCCUCCCUAGAGGAGAAGCAGCAGCUGGCCUCUGCCGCCUCCUCCGCAAACGCCGUCGCCACUAGGGGGCCUUCCUACAGCAUUUCCCUGCAGCGAGAGAGGGAGCUGGAGGAGCGCGAGUUGGCGGAUCUGCGUCUUCGCAAGCGACAGCUCGCCAUCAUCGAGGCCCGGCGCCGUCGAUCGCGGCGUAGAUGCGACGCCGUCGACGAGGCUUUUCAGAAAGCUCUGAAGCGGCGAUGGCAGGCGAUGCAGCACCUCGCCGCCGAUCCGCCUGCCGAGCGCCUGGUGGGGCAAGGCAUGACGCAGUACGUUCCGGCAGCGCUGCUGCCGGAUGACGUGGUGGACAGGCGCGGACGCCACCAACCGGGCCCGCUGCCCCUCGCGCCGCAGUCGGCGGUGGAGGCGCGGAUGCGCCGCACACCCAAUCCACCGGCGAUCACAGGUGCAGGUCCUACUUCGGCCACGGUCGUGAGGGCCCUCAAGAAUUGCUCGUCUGGCACGACUGCAGAGGAGGACGCCAUCGUCUUCUUGACCCAACUCGACGCCUGUGGAAAGCUUGUGUGCAAGGACGGGGCAACGGGCGGCAGUCACAGCCCGACCCAGUCUCCUUCCGUGUCAUCACGGGUGGUAGCGAUGACCAGCAGUGAAGGGAUGAGGGCGGAAGACGAGGCACUACCACGAACAACGUCCGCCCACGCCGCCUCGACGAUUGGCGCUGAGGCGUUGACGAACGCAGACGUGCGUGAGGACGACAACGAAGACGAAGGGGGUUGGAUUCGGCCUGCGACGGUUACCGAGGCGAACAAAGCACGCUGGCAGGAAAUGGGCUAUCACGUCAUCGUGGUCGGCGGGAAGGGGCGAUGCGGCGGCGCCGCUGCGCGUGAGGCGGACGCUGUGCGCCGUGCAAUUCGGUCUGUAGAGGCCCUGCCGAACGAGAGGGUGGCGCCGCGGGCUGUUGAGCAGCGCACUGCAGCCUCCUCGUCAUCCCUCACGCGCCGCAAGCCCCCGAACGACCAGCAAGCAAAGUGCACGAGCGUCCCAAGGUGGGAUUGGAUGCAGCUCGCGCCGUUGCCUCAGGUGUGCCUCGUGCAACGGCGUCUUCCGGAAGAAGACAUGACCGUCGCGGAGCUGCGGGAGCGGCAUCGUCGGCACAUGCCCGUUGCAUCCUCGACCACCUCUGUGCCGCGUGGGCGGCAGAAUCGUGGUGAUCGUUUGUGGAGGGUGAGUGGUAAGUCUGUGCCUCACUAGAGGGCGCCGAGGCAGUGUGGUUGGCCGUUGCCGAAGUACCGAUGCGCGUUCCCCCUCCCCCUCUCGACUUGCACACUCCUGUGCGUGCCUGUUCCUGCCCAUUUCUCAUGCCCUCCGCCUCCGCCCUCUUUUCUCUCGCUUCGGUUUAGUGUCCGCUUCGCCUUCACGAGGCGGCUGUGGAUGUAAAGGGCGCGCAGGCAGAAUGGCGAAAACGAGGGGAGGACGCCGACGCGCUCCCCGUGUACACGUGCUGGCUACCAGCAGCAAGGCAUGUGCGUCUGUGUCCCUCUCUCUCUGUGUUUGUGUGUGUGUCCGCGCCGGCCUCGCAUGCAUGGUUUAUGCGCAGCCCGGCCUCCUUUUUUAUAUAUCCUGCCUCUCUUCCCCCACGCUUCCCACAUUGCCGGCGCCGCUCCAGUCUGCAGGAGGCGGCGUAAGGCGACAGGGGGGAGGCAGGGGGGGGGUGCCAGGGACGGUGACGACGACAAACGGCGCGUUGGGCACUCUGUUCACUACUCUUCAAGGGAAAGGUGCACGCAGCCACCCGAGCACAGCGUUGCAUGUGCCUUUCCCCUCUUUUGUUUUUGCUAUGAUUCUGUGCCGUUGCAUCCUUUGGAACGCAUGUAAGUAGCGAGGUGCACGCGCCUUUGAACCCCCCUUCCUCCCUCUUAGAGGCGAGACCAUGGUGAUUUACUCGAAGCACGGCGUCCGUGCGUCCUGCUCAGAAAAGCACGAAACAGCGACGCUUCUUACGCCGGGUCAUGAGAGGUUUUCGCUGUCUUGCGCACACGGCGAAAGAGACCCGAGUCGUGUGUUUUUCCCCUUACCUUCUGCCCACUAGACUCACGGCUUGUCGUCGCGCGACGCUGCUUGCUUUUCUCCUGUGCUGACGUGUUUGUGUGUGG